rnacentral:tRNA from 7 species
AGGGCUAUAGCUCAGUUGGUAGAGCACCUCGUUUACCGAGAAGGUCUACGGUUCGAGUCCGUAUAGCCCUA